rnacentral:ncRNA from 2 species
AAUCUUACAUAGCUAGUAGGUGCCUUGUCGUUGGAUAAGGUUAAAAGGGAAGCCGGUGUGAAUCCGGCGCGGUCCCGCCACUGUUAUUCGGGGAUAACCUCGCAGUACCACUGUUCCAGAUAUGGAAUGGGAAGGAGAGGAAGUCAUGUUACCCGUAAGCCAGGAAACCUGCCUAUUUAGCUUGCCAACG